rnacentral:snRNA from 1 species
AUACUUACCUGGCAGGGGAGAUGCCAUGAUCACGAAGGUGGUUUUCCCAGGGCAAGGCUUAUCCAUUGCACUCCGGAUGUGCUGACCCCUGCGAUUUCCCCAAAUGUGGGAAACUCGACUGCAUAAUUUGUGGUAGUGGGGGACUGCGUUCGCACUCUCCCCUA